rnacentral:rRNA from 1 species
UAAUAUAUCGGAACGUACCCUGGAGUGGGGAUAACGUAGCGAAAGUUACGCUAAUACCGCAUACGAUCUAAGGAUGAAAGUGGGGGACGCGCAAGCACCUCAUGCUCCUGGAGCGGCCGAUAUCUGAUUAGCUAGUUGGUGGGGUAAAGGCCUACCAAGGCAUCGAUCAGUAGCUGGUCUGAGAGGACGACCAGCCACACUGGAACUGAGACACGGUCCAG